GCCUGGGUGGCUCAGUGGUUGAGCAUCUGCCUUCAGCUCAGGUCGUGAACCUGGGGUCCUGGGAUCAAGUCCCACAUCAGGCU
rnacentral:tRNA from 1 species